ACAGUCGCUUGAAUUUUAGUGAUAUAUGUAUGAAACUUUUUUUUUAAAAUACUGUUAUAUGUAUACAGUAUUUUGUUAUUUUUUUUUUCAUACAUAUAUCACUAAAAUUCAAGAGACUGU
rnacentral:sRNA from 1 species